CCGCCAGAACAUUACAAGUGAAAAGCUUAAAACUCAAAGGACUUGGCGGUGUCCCACCUCGACCUAGAGGAGCCUGUCCUGUAAUCGAUACCCCCCGCUUAACCUGACCUCCACUGGCACACUCCAGCCUAUAUACCGCCGUCGACAGUCUACCCCAUGAGGGUAAAAUAGUAGACUAAAUAGCUAAUCACAUCGCUAAUACGUCAGGUCAAGGUGUAGCAAAUGUUGAGGAAGUGAUUGGCUACAUUUUUUGCCCAAAAUAAACGAAAUACAACAUGAAAUCAUGUACGAAGGUGAAUUUAGUAGUAAAGU
rnacentral:rRNA from 1 species